GGAGAGGUGCCUGAGUGGCCGAAAGGAGCGGUUUGCUAAAUCGUCGUACCCCAAAAGGGUACCCAGGGUUCGAAUCCCUGUCUCUCCG
rnacentral:tRNA from 3 species